GUAAGUGACCUGCCCUUGGUGAGCCCUCACUGCAGACGUGAUCUUUCAACCGCAGGGAGACAACUGUGCUCCACGGGAGAGAGUGGCAUCGGGUCAGGACUGUGCUGUCCUUCAGCUCACAGUGGCUCCGUGCUCAGCCUCUGCACUGCGACCUUGAAGUUCACUAUCAGUUUCUGAACUAAGCCAGGCCGCAGUCUGUCAUGUCAGGACUCAAGUGCGGAGGCAUCCUCAGGCCAAGUUUACGUUAAUCUAACACCACUGAGAGGCCACAAGAUGACAAAGAAAAAUCCAGCAUCGACAAGGCACAUCUAGAAAUCUCACAAGACUUCUCAGCCUCCACGACUCUUGUAAAUAUGAAUUUAACCCGCUGGGUAAAUUGGUAAUAAAAUUCUCUUUGUGUUAAGGCA
rnacentral:lncRNA from 13 species